AAACCGCGAGGUCAAGCAAAUCCCAUAAAGUUGUUCUCAGUUCGGAUUGUAGUCUGCAACUCGACUACAUGAAGCUGGAAUCGCUAGUAAUCGUAGAUCAGCAUGCUACGGUGAAUACGUUCCCGGGUCUUGUACACACCGCCCGUCACACCACGAGAGUUUGUAACACCCGAAGCCGGUGGAGUAACCUUUUGGAGCUAGCCGUCGAAGGUGGGACAAAUGAUUGGGGUGAAGUCGUAACAAGGUAGCCGUAUCGGAAGGUGCGGCUGGAUCACCUCCUUU
rnacentral:rRNA from 1 species